UACGUAGGGGGCAAGCGUUGUCCGGAAUCAUUGGGCGUAAAGAGCGCGUAGGCGGCCCAGUAAGUCCGCUCUGAAAGUCAGGGGCUCAACCCCUGAAUGCGGGUGGAUACUGCUGGGCUAGAGUCCGGAAGAGGCGAGUGGAAUUCCUGGUGUAGCGGUGAAAUGCGCAGAUAUCAGGAGGAACACCAAUGGCGAAGGCAGCUCGCUGGGACGGUACUGACGCUGAGGCACGAAGGCCAGGGGAGCAAACGGG
rnacentral:rRNA from 1 species